rnacentral:misc_RNA from 1 species
GAAAUUCGAUAAGUAAUGUGAAUUGCAGAAUUCAGUGAAUCAUCGAAUCUUUGAACGCACCUUGCGCUCCUUGGUAUUCCUUGGAGCAUGCCUGUUUGAGUAUCGUGAAAUCUUCAAAGUAAAUCUUUUGUUAACUCAAUUGGUUUCUACUUUGGUAUUGGAGGUCUUUGCAGCUUCACACCUUCUCCUCUUUGUUCAUUAGCUGGAUCUCAGUGUUAUGCUUGGUUCCACUCGGCGUGAUAAGUUAUCUAUCGCUGAGGACACUGUAAAAGGUGGCCAAGGUAAAUGCAGAUGAACCGCUUCUAAUAGUCCAUUGACUUGGACAAUACUUUUAUGAUCUGAUCUCAAAUCAGGUAGGACUACCCGCUGAACUUAAGC